rnacentral:lncRNA from 1 species
GUGGACAGUGGUAUCCCCAACCCACCAGGGUUCAAAUCCUGGUGCUCGCAUUAUUCCUGGAUUUAUUUCAGGAUUUCCGGCGAUGCACUUUCAGUGGGAGGAGACGUUCCCGUUGACGACGAGGCGCCUACGGUGACUUCGUAAAUCUCAAGAUGAUAUGCCGGCUCAGUCUCUCGGAGGUGCUCAUAGGGGUAGGGUGUGCGUGUGUGCGUUCAUAGGGAUGAGUGUAUGCGCGUGUAUAUGAGCGCUUAUGUCUGUACUGAUGCUCAAAAAAAAACUUAGUACAUGCCCAUGUUUUACUUUUUCGCCCGGUGCAACGCAGAGGUAUUUGUACGUGCAACAAAUUUACUGAUAUUCAAUGGACUCCGUUUAAUUUGAAGAGUAUCUGUAUAUUUCUGUCUUGCUAAUCAAAACAUGUACUGGAUUGUUUAGUAGUUCGGCAGAUGGGUGACUAGAACAAAGUAUUGCAGCAUAUCAUCUUAAAAUUGUAUUUUGUUAGAACACACUACAAGUAACCCAAAGAUCUAAACAUAUAUUUGUAUAGUUGGUAAUCAUGUAGAUCUUGUAGGUAUGCUAGGUGAAUACUAAGUGCUUGCAAGAGUGGAUGUAUUAGUACAGAUCUUUCACACAUGUAGUUUUUGGAGGCACAACUUUUACAUGCCCCUCAUCCUAAUUUAAAAGUAGUUUCUACUGUUCAUUUAUUUCUGAUGUGCCUCAUGAAAUAUUUUGUUGUCCACAUGGGAAGAUGAAAGACCACAAAUCCCAUUUUUAAAGGUAAAUAUCGACGAUCUUAUUUCUGAUGUUUGCGAAACAUGGAUUAAAAAAGUGUUGUAUAAUGGCACAUGGAGCGGGUUUUAAUUUUUCGCCCGAUGCAACGCACGGGCAUUUGUACUAGUAAUAAUAAUAAUAUAUAAUAUAUAUAUAUAUAUAAGGUUUCUGUCGUCCGUCAAAACAAAUACCCUUAAAGUUGCUAUAAAUUACCCGCUAUGCCACUCAUAAGUCAAGAAAACGAUUCGUUUUUUUUUUCAAAGUCAUCGUCGCGCAUAGUCUUUUAUAAAGGUAAUAUCCCACAUAUGACAUGGACGCUAUAGCAGCUCAGUGGUUGAAUCCUAUCUCCUCUACCGCGCAGACCCGGGUUCGAUCCCUAGGGUCCUCCUAUUUUCCUCCACCUUUUUCUCACACACGUCCUCCCUCCUACAUACGCGUUCAUGGCCGGCCCGUGGGACGUGAUGCCCCUAUUUUUUUUCUUUUCUCAUUUCUGUUUUUGUUUUUUCUUCUUUAAAUUAAUUCAAGAUUUUCAAAUUACAAAAGGUUGCAACUUUUGAGAAAAAUAUUCGAGAAAUCAUAGAAUGUUUAUGAAUUCAAAAAAUGUGCGAGAAAUCAUAAAUUUUCUGCAGUUUCAAUUCUUUUGGUGAUUUACAAAACUAUUCGCAAAUUAUAAAAAAAUCACAAUUUUUCAAAAUUUGUUCCCCAAUUAUAAAAAAAGUUCAUUGAUACAAAAAGGUUUGCUAACUCAAAAAUUGUUCAUGAAUUCAAAAACUAUGCGUGCAUUUCAAAAAAUGUUCGUCUGAACAAAACAAAUGUUCAUGAAUUCGAAAACUACUCAUGCAUUUCAAAAAAUGUUCGUCUUAACAAAACAAAUGUUAAUGCAUUUAAAAACUGCCCAAAAUUUUAAAACAAAUGUUUGUCGAUUAGAAAAAAUGUUCGUCGAUUCAAAAGUUUUUCAUGUCUUGGAUUUGGGUAGUUUUUGGAAAGUCCUUUUAUGUCUAGGCGCUAGGAGUAGUUUUUCUCACACACGUCCUCUCUCCCACAUACGCGUUCAUGGCCAGCCCGUGGGGCGUGACGCCCCUAUUUUUUCUUUUCUUUUCUCAUUUCUGUUUCUGUUUUUUCUUCUUUAAAUUAAUUCAAGAUUUUCAAAUUACAAAAGGUUGCAACUUUUGAGAAAAAUAUUCAAGAAAUCAUAGAAUGUUUAUGAAUUCAAAAAAUGUGCGAGAAAUCAUAAAUUUUCUGCAGUUUUAAUUCUUUUGGUGAUUUACAAAACUAUUCGCAAAUUAUAAAAAAAUCACAAUUUUUCAAAAUUUGUUCCCCAAUUAUAAAAAAAGUUCAUUGAUACAAAAAGGUUUGCUAACUCAAAAAUUGUUCAUGAAUUCAAAAACUAUGCGUGCAUUUCAAAAAAUGUUCGUCUGAACAAAACAAAUGUUCAUGAAUUCGAAAACUACUCAUGCAUUUCAAAAAAUGUUCGUCUUAACAAAACAAAUGUUAAUGCAUUUAAAAACUGCCCAAAAUUUUAAAACAAAUGUUUGUCGAUUAGAAAAAAUGUUCGUCGAUUCAAAAGUCUUUCAUAUCUUGGAUUUGGGUAGUUUUUGGAAAGUCCUUUUAUGUCUAGGCGAUAGGAGUAGUUUUUCUCACACACGUCCUCUCUCCCACAUACGCGUUCAUGGCCAGCCCGUGGGGCGUGACGCCCCUAUUUUUUCUUUUCUUUUCUCAUUUCUGUUUUUGUUUUUUCUUCUUUAAAUUAAUUCAAGAUUUUCAAAUUACAAAAGGUUGCAACUUUUGAGAAAAAUAUUCGACAAAUCAUAGAAUGUUUAUGAAUUCAAAAAAUGUGCGAGAAAUCAUAAAUUUUCUGCAGUUUUAAUUCUUUUGGUGAUUUACAAAACUAUUCGCAAAUUAUAAAAAAAUCACAAUUUUUCAAAAUUUGUUCCCCAAUUAUAAAAAAAGUUCAUUGAUACAAAAAGGUUUGCUAACUCAAAAAUUGUUCAUGAAUUCAAAAACUAUGCAUGCAUUUCAAAAAAUGUUCGUCUGAACAAAACAAAUGUUCAUGAAUUCGAAAACUACUCAUGCAUUUCAAAAAAUGUUCGUCUUAACAAAACAAAUGUUAAUGCAUUUAAAAACUGCCCAAAAUUUUAAAACAAAUGUUUGUCGAUUAGAAAAAUGUUCGUCGAUUAGAAAAAAUGUUCGUCGAUUAAAAAGUCUUUCAUGUCUUGGAUUUGGGUAGUUUUUGGAAAGUCCUUUUAUGUCUAGGCGCUAGGAGUAGUUUUUCUCACACACGUCCUCCCUCCCACAUACGCGUUCAUGCCCGGCCCGUGGGGCGUGAUGCCCCUAUUUUUUUUCUUUUCUUUUCUCAUUUCUGUUUUUGUUUUUUCUUCUUUAAAUUAAUUCAAGAUUUUCAAAUUACAAAAGGUUGCAACUUUUGAGAAAAAUAUUCGACAAAUCAUAGCAUGUUUAUGAAUUCAAAAAAUGUGCGAGAAAUCAUAAAUUUUCUGCAGUUUUAAUUCUUUUGGUGAUUUACAAAACUAUUUGCAAAUUAUAAAAAAAUCACAUUUUUUCAAAAUUUGUUCCCCAAUUAUAAAAAAAAUUCAUUGAUACAAAAAGGUUUGCUAACUCAAAAAUUGUUCAUGAAUUCAAAAACUAUGCAUGCAUUUCAAAAAAUGUUUGUCUGAACAAAACAAAUGUUCAUGAAUUCGAAAACUACUCAUGCAUUUCAAAAAAUGUUCGUCUUAACAAAACAAAUGUUAAUGCAUUUAAAAACUGCCCAAAAUUUUAAAACAAAUGUUUGUCGAUUAGAAAAAAUGUUCGUCGAUUCAAAAGUCUUUCAUGUCUUGGAUUGGGUAGUUUUUGGAAAGUCCUUUUAUGUCUAGGCGCUAGGAGUAGUUUGUGGUCCAUGAAAUUUGUUUUUAAAGUUUUAAACAUUCUCUUGCGCGGCACAAUGACAAGUGUGCCAUGCAGUGGCAAGCUCGUUGCCUUGGGAUUUACCACGUCGAAUGCAUUGCGAUCACAUGGACAUCGCGUACAUCAUCAACGAGGGUGGAAAGAAAGAUAAGUGGAAACAUGGUGAGCUACCGUGUGAAAAUAGAGGACGCUCAUAAUUUGGGGUAUUGAGUCAUACUUAUUUGGCUCGCGUGUAACUAUUUUGUCUCCCGUUGCAACGCACGGGCAUGUUUGCUAGUAAUAAUAAUAAAGCACGGAUUGGGUCUCCGAGUUCACCGUCGCGGCGUAUUUGCAGAAAAAUCCCUAUAAAAUUAAGUAAUUAACCCGCAGUCCAGUAUAAAUAAUAAUGAAAAAAACGUUUCGUAUUUCUCGCCUACCCGUGCACGCGAUCGAUAGAAAAAAAACCAUCCCCAAUUCGAGCGCCCGCGCCUCCCACCAAUGGAUCCGCGGCCUCCCCGCCGCCGGCAUGCCAUCCUCCGCCACGCCGUCCUCCCCGCACCCUGGCCUGCCUCCUCUCCGCUGCGCCCUCCUCCCCGCGCCGUCCGAGACUCCGAGUCCUCCGGGCGCGGUUCGCCGACGCCGAGGACUAGGCCGCCGUUCUCCGGGCAUGCGCAGGCCGGCUCGAGCGCGCGCCGCCGAACGCAACCAGCUGCUCAACACGCUCCUCGCCGCUGCGGGAAACGGCCGGGAGGAGGAGGAUGCGCGGGAGGCGGGGCAGCGUCAGAAUCAACGUGCUUCGGAUCCGGCCGAGGCUUACGGCGACACGGACGCGGAGGGUCUGGCCGCGGCCGCCGCGCUCCCUCCGGUCACUACCUUCCCAUGAGCUCACUUCCACCCUAGCCUCUCCCCCUUUCCUCUUUGUUGUUUUAACUGAUUCCCAACUGCUUGAUCAAUCCCGCUCCUCUGCUCCUGCAUGAUGGCUUUCUCUGUUCGAUUGCUUAAUUUGGUUGUGUCUUACCUGAACUGCAAGGGAACCAACAUACAUGGCAUGAUGGAUGGAGACCAGUAUAUGUUUUUUGUUCUGUUCACAUUCUUUCUAAUAGUUUCCAUCGGAUUAUAGGCAUGUGCUUUGAGCAAUAGGCAUAAAUCUGUUGUAAUCAAUCAAAGACAGUGAGAACGUUUACUGAAAUCUUUCGAAGUGGGGAUCCUAUGAAUUUCUUUGAUUGAACGUCCAUCGAUGAUCUCAUCUUAUAGUAACUCACUUUGAAACAUUGUAUUGGUAGUUUUUAUCUUUACACUUUUGCCGUCUAUACAUACUGGAUUGCAUUGUUUAGGACAUGACACAGCGCUGCAAACAGCUCAUGAGAGCAGUUAGCAAAUGCAAAUCAUUGUAUAUGUCACUUAUGCUGAUCUUAAUAGAAAAUAGUACUAUUUUGGGGAAGGGCAUCUGGCUGACUUUCAAUAUAACUCUUCAGGUUUUGUUUGGUGAGAUUCUCUUCAGAAAACAAGAUUUGUAUUGGUGGUAGAUCGACAGCAACUGACAAGGACUACCACGAUUAGAGCUACUCUUUUGGCACCCAUGUUUCAGUAUGCAGUCAAGCAGGCAACAAGGUAAUCAUUGCCAUCAUGUAGUUUGCGGGUAGUGCAUGGGCCUAUUUAAUUAGUUUUUUCGCACGAUGGCUCAUGGUGUUGGUUGAUAAAUAUGUGUGUGUGCAUGGAACAACUAAUUGAUCAGAACUAACAACAUCACUAAAUCCAAAAAUUCUAAUACAAAUAAAGAAGGAAAACAAAUGAGCUUCAUACGACUGAUGCAUGACAAAGUUCUCAUAUUUACAUGCCUGAGUACAGUAUGUCCUAUACCCAAUAUUUGUAUAGUUCAAUGCUAAGUUAGUCAAUAUACAUUUUAGGCCAAAAUGUUUGGAAAUCCCAAGUUCAAUCUACUGUUUUUAUAAAUAAAUUAAUGAUGAUUAAUUAAAGACAUAUAUAUAAUAAAUUUAAGGUAUUUAUCCAAAAUUUGCCAUGAAAAGUUCAACCAUUAGCUGCGUGGUUCUCUAUAGUGACCCCCUUAACAGAAACAAGAAAGGGAAGCACUUCUUCAGCGCUGAAUUAAAUACACAUGAGUUAUCUUUUUGUUGAUAAUCUUUAGUGUAAACACUUAUCUUUUUCUUGAUUGCCAGAUUUUAUGCACAUUUCUCAUGAUAUAUAUAUAUAUGGGAGUACAGGGAUCUGUGGGACGAGGCCAAGGUGUACGUGCGCAACCUUCCCUACGACGUUAGCAGCGAGCGCCUCGUGCAGCUCUUCGAGCAGGACGGCGUCAUCGAGGUCACCGUGGUGAGCAUGCUCUUCCUAUUAGACCAUCUUCAGCGCUGAAUGAUAGCAUGAGGUGAUAUGAUUUGUUUCACAGUCGAUAUGUGGUAUCGGUGACAGAAGGUGCAUCACACGCUUGGGUAUUUUCUUCCGCACGAGGUAAAGUACCAAAGGUGUUUUCAAUAUGUAAUUAGCACCCAUACUUAGCAUCAAGCUUUGAUAGAGGGGAUGCUUAGAUGAUUUUUGAUUCUACGGUAUUUAUUUUCUCUAUCCCUGAGCAUCUACACAGGCAACCCGCAUUAUAGAUGAUAUUAGCCUGCUGCCAGUGUCGUUCCUCUAGAUACACACACACACACGCAUUUUGCCUGGUGAAGGGAAUGCCUCAAAUCAUCGGACCCCUGAUUAUGCGUCAUGUUCGUGCAAGACUGAAACUGACACAAUAGGUUCUAGAUGUAAAUGAUGUCUGCUUUAAUGUGGUGGUUGUGUUGUUGAAGCUCAUAUGGAGUGUUUAUGCAUAACUGAAGUGGCACAUUUAGUUCUGGAAUAUCCAACAGCCUCCAAAUCUUCUGAAAGCAAAGAGCUGGAGAACCAUCCUCUAGGCUCUCCUGUACCCCCACAGAUUAUUUUUCUUCCAAAACUAUUGAUAAACGCAGCAAGUUUUAAUUGCAAUUCCACAUCCAAAUGUUGUUAUUCAGGUUGUCAUCAACUCAUCAUACUAUAUCAGCUUCAAUGCUAAUUUUUUCUCUCAAGUAGUCCAUAAAUAUGUGAACCUGAACACUCAAAACUACUGCAGGGGUAGGAUUUCGGCAGUAUCCCUUGGCUGGUUAAUCUGUUUGGACUAGAAUUUUCUGAAUUGUAGUAAAGCUUGGCAACUACAGAAUACAUUGUCUUGAGGUAUAAUAGCACUUGAUUCUCUAACAAUCGUUGAUUCAUGAAUUGCAGCAGGCCCCUCCUGUGAAUCCCAUUGCUUACAAUUAUUUCAUGAUUGAGAUCUUGGAUUUAACAUUUAGUAUUUUCUUGUGUUACUUUUCUUUCUUUUGGAGGAGAACAAGGAACGGAGGGAGUAGAUGUUUUUUAAGGAUGUCACAUUUAACCUCCCACAAAUAGCGCAGCAACAAGGAACAAAAAAAAAGCUGGGACAAAAAAAAUAGACCACAAACAUAGUGGACAUCAGGUUAGAUGUGACAUAACUAUGUCACAUCUAGAUGUAUCCUAGACACACCCAUUUGGUUUGGGUCUCUCUGUCAUUGAUACGUUCAUUCAUGCAAUCCGAAUUAUGUAGAGAUAACUUCACACCCCUACUGUUAGACCUUUGGCAUCACACUGGUUAGUUUGGUUCUAUUAAACCAAAGUACAGUAGGAAAACCUUGCCGAGAUUUUUGAAAUUGCAUACUGAAUUCAGAUCACGUUAGUUUUAUUUUUUCAGUUUGGUUGUGUAUACAAUACUGCUAAUAGAUUCGGUCAGGAUAGUUUCGCUGUUUCAUGACUUGGUGAGCUCGAGGCAGGGGCACUGAUUGUCUGUUCAAUGCACUUUUGUUUCUGUGUUCAGUUUUGAGAAUGCCAAAGUGGUCACUGCGGUGGAUUGUAUUAUGUCACUGGUAUGUGAUAAGAAUUGGGAACAUUAUUCUUUUGCCACCCAGGAUUCGGAGCUCCGUGAAAAGCUAUGGGAGGUAUGAAGAUUUGUUAGCAUUCUGCUUUUACCAUUUUGUCACCUGAAUUUGAUUUGUGAAAGAAUUUUCUCAGGGAUAUUAAUACAAUUAACAUAUUAAUACAAUUAGCAAGCACCAUAUUAUCUAAAAAAGGGCAGCCCGGUGCAUGUAGCACCAUAUUAUCUACUUAACAUAAAUGACAUAGCAGAAUGAGCUCAUGUAUGUUUUGCUUCCUCGCAGGUUCCUGGUGUUCCUGUGAUAUAUGGUCUGAAGAACUCCUUGUUCAUUGAGCAACCAUUCGUUCAGCAAAGUCAGUUUGCUCAGUUGGAUGAGAAGUGCAACUUAUUGAAAAAUCCGAAUUUAAGAAGCUACCCAUGACUCAGGACGUCACCCGAAGGAAAGACAUCUGUUGAUGGAAACAGACAUGAUGUGGCAUAGAAAAACAAGUUUAGAAGGAACAGAGCAAAGGUUAGUAUCUCCCUCCAUUCCUAAAUAGAAGACCUUUUAGAAAUUUCAAUAUUGAACUACAUACAUAGCAAAAUGAUAUAUACUCCCUCCGUUCCAAAAUAGAUGAUUCAACUUUAUACUAAAGUUAGUACAAAAUUAGUAUAGAGCUGGGUCAUCUAUUUUAGAACGGAGGGAGUAUAUCUGUAUAUAGUCCAUAGUGCAAUCUCUAAAAGGUCUUAUAUUUAGGAACGGAGGGAGUAUACAACUACUGUUUUCCAAGAUACUCCAUGGUUAUGAUCUAGAGUAGUGGGUGUAGUCAAUAUUUUGAGAUCAUGCAUCUCUCUCGCAAGAAAAAUAAAGCCAAGCCCGACCACCACCAGCUCAAAAUCAGUUAAUCAAUCAUGGCUACACAACAUAAUAAGUGUAAAUGCUUGGAACACUUUCACUGUAGGAUCUCUUUCAAUGUUGUAAAAGCAAGCUUGGAAUUGCAUAACAUCUUGAGGUUUAUAACGAAGGGUAAGGUGGACCAGAAAUGAUGUGACAACUGAAUCUUUAGCUUCAGAAGAAAGACAAACUAGGUGGGUUGAAUGUGCACAUAAUAUACAACCGAAAAUGGGCCGAAGGGGAUCUUGGGAGGAGCAGGAUCUCCUGGACAUUGAAUGAUACUUUAUUUUACCUUCGAAUGUUGUUAAUUAAAAUGUGAUGUUUACAUUCGGAGGUUGUUGUUUUUUAGCCUAAUUAAGAAGUUGCAUCGGCACUAAAGAACAUCAAUUUACAUCUAAGAGAACUCAAAAAUUGUGGAGGUAUAUGGUAUAUUAUGAUUAUGUUUUCAAGGAGAAUAUUGGGUGAGGAUAUGAGUUUUCUCCAUGGGGAAGUACGGUCUCCCGUUGCAACGCACGGGCCCUUUUGCUAGUCUCUCCCUAAUAAUAAAGCACGGAUUGGGUCUCCGGGUUCACCGUCACAAUACGCUUUCUUCUCAUAUCAUAAUACGCUUUUACAAUUUGUAUGGAAAAAAUUGUAAUAUACACGAGGUGGUACUAAUGAAAUCAAGUCGUAUGCGUCGAACGAUCGCACCGGCUCCCUUCCCUGCUGGGCUUGCCUGGACCCGUUUUUCUACUUGCAACGAAUCAGCGGCUGGACUAUCAAAAAAUAAAACUAUCAGAGACUCAAAUUCGGAAACGAUUGGUUUUUCCUUCAUACUACGGUGUUUUGACUGUGACCCAGUCGAGCUCCACAUCCCUCGCCGCUUCCUCAACUUAUCUCAACUGCCAGCGCGCCGGAGGAUGAGCAGAAGACGGAGUCGUUGCGGGCCGGCGAGCAGGUACUUAUCUCAACUUCCAGCGCGCCGCCACCACCUGCCGCUCCGCUGCGUGCCGCCACCACCGCCUCGCGCGCCGUCCUGGUCGCCGCCGCCGGCCUUGCGUCGCCUCAACGCCCGACCCCCGAGUCUCGCAGGCCCGCCACACACCUACUCUCUUCCAACAAUUCCGUGCAUCCCGGCUCGAUUACUUCAGGGAGGAGGAGGAUGACGACGAGGCAGACUUACAUGUUGAUUCAUCAUUUGUAGACUUUUGGUUACAACGGAUAGAUAUGAGCAGUUUAGCACUAUUCUUGCUUAUAUAUCAAAAAAUAUUAUGAUCAGCAGGCUAAAUCUACCACACGGGUCGUUAGCUCUGUUACCGUAACAUUGCACCAUCCUAACACGCGAGGAAAAUAAUUUCACAAGAUUCUCAUAUUAAGUAUCUAUUCAAAGAGGUAUGUAACAAUGUGCGGGAAGGAGAAAUUCACUCGGUAACAACACCGAUGCUACGGCUUGCAUGCUGAGAGUUGAGACCUGGUGAGCUUACUCGUACUAUUGUGUGAUGUGUUAACUUACUUUUGUAGUUUCUAUAUGCCAACAUAUAUCAUGCUGUUUUAUGGUUAGUAGUAUUUCAACAUAAUUUUUCUAUUCAUGCAUUGAAGCAAAACUGCAGUUAGUUGCUACAGAGCUAGGAGAUCUUGGUGUAUAAUAAAAUAUAUUAAUAUGGAGGGGUUCCUUUGUCACCUGAUUUGAUAAGGUAUAUAGUACGGAAGUUUUUUUAUUUCAUAAUCAUAUUCUUGAUGUACUGUUUAACGUAUUUUCUUUUCAGAGAUUUGCCCUUCAAAUUUUCUUGUGAUAGCUAAUUGCCUUUCUGUAAAACUCUUUGUGCGGAUUAGUUGAUAUGAUCAAUGGUCAAACUGUUUGAGUUUCAAAAUCAUUUUAACAUUUCAAAUUUGGGGGUUGUAUAUAUACAACCGGAUAUCAUGUGUAUCAUGCAUAGCGAUCUACUUUGUUCUGUCUGUUAGCAUUAAUUAAUGUCUACUUCUUGAUUAUAUUUGAUAUACUUCAGAUAGUGAGCAUGAUUGUGGGGAUGGUGUGUAUGAGGAUUUUUUCCCCUUCUCCCAUUGGAACACGCAGGUAUAUUUGGGUUUAUAAUAUGGGUUGUUGCCCCAGUUGCUUUUGCUUGGCGAUAAUGGCAAUGCAGUUAUCACCAUGUUUGCACCGUUCUUCACAUGCACAUCCCUAGGCUCCUUAUGUUACUGUUCACCAUCACUGUUGAUUAUUUCUCCUUCUAUUCUGUUAUCCAAUAGGUAUUCUCUUACUACAUAUAAAUUUGGAGGACAAAGCAUUUAUUCUGUUGAUAUAUUAAACCCAAAUUGCUGACAUUUAUUCUGUUGAUAUAUUAAACCCCAAAUUGCUGACAUGUAACGUCUUCUAUCUGAAUUUGUUUCAUAAAAUUAAUCAUUGGUUUAGUUUGAUAGAUUAAACCCAAAUUAGUUUAUGGACUGAACUAGAAAUAACACAAUCACAUAUUAGUUUUCUUUUUAAAUUUCAUAGUAGAGAUUUAGCCGUCGAUGACCCACUACACGUGGAUGCCACAUCCUUUCUUCCUCACCUAUCGCGCGAAUUUUCAAUGCCGGUCCACUGCGAUCAGGGUGCUGGAGGCUCUUGGGCUUGCAGCUCGCAUGCUUGGAGGUAAGUUUUGUAGCCUCCCGUUGCAACGCACGGGCAUUUGUGCUAGUAAUAAUAAAGCACGGAUUGAGUCUCCGGAUUCACCGUCACGGUAGUUUUACAUUAAAGCCCUUGUGUUUUUCGUCCGCCGCGCCGUCCUCCCCGCACCUCGAGCGACCGCGUCUCCCACCCCCGUUUGGAUCCGCCGCCAUCCCGCAUCCUCCGCCGAGCCGUGCCGCCAUCAUCACCGCACCCGGCCUUUCUCCUCUCCGCCGCGCCCUCCUCUCCGCGCCGUUCGAGUCCACACACGGUUCGCCGACGAAGAGGCCCAGGCCGCCGCGCUCCGGGCCCGCGCCGGCCGGCUCGAGUGCGCGCCGCCCACCGCGACUAGCUGCUCAACACUCUCCUCGUCGCUACGGGCAACGGCCGUGAGGAGGAGGACGCGCGGGAGGCGCGACAGCGUCAGAAUCAGCCCGUCUGAUCCGACCGAGGCCUACGACGACACGGAUGUGGAGGCUCUGUCCGCCGCCGUCGCGCUAUAUGCCCUGCCCCUGCUCGCCGAGCCCUGCCUCUCGGUAUCUCCAUCCAUGUACGCUGCCGGGGACCCUGCAGGUCCAAGCUUGUCGGCGAGGGGGAGCGCAGACAGCAGCCUAGCCCGUCAUGGCGUCCACCAAGGUGCAGCGGAUCAUGACCCAGCCCGUCAACCCCAUCUUCCGCUUCCUCCAGAGCGUAAGCCUCUCCCUCCCUACCCACACAUUCCUUUCUUCUCCUUCCCCCGUUUCCUCAUGCUUGCGGUUUCGCUGACCUCGUUUCCUCUGCCGGAGCAGAAGGCGUGCAUCCAGAUCUGGCUCUUCGAGCAGAAGGACAAGCAGAUCGAGGGCAGGAUCAUCGUAAGUGGUUUCUAAUUUCGCUGAAAUUUUUUAUCCUGCAUUUUUGUGGGAGACAUUGCGUGGUAGUGGUGCUGCAAAGAAUUCCACUGUUUGGGGGAAGUUCAGGGGAGCUUCUGCUCUGUCAUUGGGAGGAAGAGUGCGCUUGUUAAAGCUGCGAGUCAUUGGUGCUCUGCGCUGUAGAUGGAAAAUGUGACAAUACUGUGUUGAAGUUUGUUAUAUCCAUACGAGGAGAUACAAGAUGUGGCACUCCUGUGCUGAAUUUCGUUAUGGCCACAUGAUAAGGAGAUAAAAAUGUUGAACUAACUGUAAGCAGGUUCUUGUAGUUGUCUUACUGCAUUUCCAUGUAAUCCUAAUCCAAUUUGCCAUAUCUUAUUGUCCAAGCAAACACAAUAUAAACACAUAUCAAAUGGAACAAAAGUAGCAAUCUCAGAGUGUUUGUUAAUGCACUGGACACCUCUUAUUGCUACUAAUUGAACUGCCAUGUGUCGACAUUAAGAAAAGUAGCUCUAAGCAUCUGCGGGAAACUUUGUUAAUUGGACGACACACUUGUUACACAAAGGAAGUUCUCUGAUAGCCUAUUGCUUGGUUCUAUAUUACUGGCAUUAUGCUUGCUAUUUCUAUUUAAAUACCCCAUAACUUAUUAGCUCCGUAUCUAUUCAUUUUUUCUGAAAAGAAUAACUGUUAUGAUCUAAAACUUUAGCAACUUACUGACGGCGAUCUGGAAUAAAAAUAAUAAGCAUUUCUGUUUGAGAAACCUACUUGAUAUGUUUCACUAAUUUCUGUUGUAGUAAAAUUGUCUAAUUACUUACAGAUUCUUCAUUUAGAUAAAACUAUGUAACACAUGAACUGGAAGCUACUUUAAUUGGAGGUCCAUAGGUUUAUUUCUGACUUACCAAAAACCAUAUCUGAUUUCAUUGUUGUAUGAUUCAUAAUCUUGAAGAUGUGUACCUUAUUUUACUCCAUUGCUUCUCGCCCUCUAAUAGGAUGACCCUUUAAUUAUUUGUUUAUGUAGACUUUGUUCCGUAGCAACGCACGAGUAAUUUACUAGAGCGAGCGGUGUCGUGGUGAUCUCGCUGGCGAGUGACAGGAGGAGGACGACGGGCUGAGCCGAAGGAGGGCGAGGCGUCCACAUGCAGGAGGCUCCCCGGCAGAUCGGGGAGACAGUGCCAAGGCAUCACACCUCCAUUUUCUCGAAGCAGGGCAUGUGUGCUAUUUCUAAAAAAAGAAGCUUCCCUGUUGGCUGGCAUCCCUGAUGCUACACAGGAAUUAUGUAGAAAAAGAAAUGGCAUGUCAUAAUUCUUUGGAUGUAGACCAGUAGGGUCAAUUACAAAUUGUUGGCUGUAAAUGACUUUCAGUUUCUAGCUUUCAUAAAAUUUAGAUUUAACAGUAUGAUGUGGUUGAUGGUGGUCCUAUCUGCUGGUUCAAAUUAUCAUGUUGGAUAAUAUUGCUUUUACUAGCAAUUGCAGUGUUCUUACUAUUUUAUUUCCACAAAUAUCAUCAUGUUUUGCUAUUGAUGUAAUGCUAUAUUUGUUGACUGAAAUUAAACCCUUCAGUUGCUGGCGUGGUGCUCUUAUUACUGUUAUAUUCCUUCACAGAAAGCAAACCUUGUUCAUGGCUAACUUAUAUUAUACUCCUUCCGUUUCAAAAUAGAUAACCCAACUUUGUAUUAACUUUAUACUAAAGUUAGUACAAAGUUGAGUCAUCUAUUUUGGAACGGAGGGAGUAGCAGAUAUUGUGUUUAGAAACCAUCAAUCUCAGGAACACUCUGACCAUGUGUUUGAUUCUGUUGAAGACCCUAUAUAUGAUGAGGUGCUAUAACUGCUAAUGUUGAGCUAUAUGGACUCUAUGAGAAGAACCACCAUGACAAACAUACGGGUCAAUAGAAUUCAGAAAGUUACAGUUUAUUUGCUCCGAAACUACUCUGUGGACGAUAUUUUAUGCUGCAGAUCACUGCACGACCCUAAUCAAACAGUCUGCUGCAGUUUAAUUCUAUACAUGGAUGGCUCGAUCUCAUUGUUGUCCAAAAAUUGUCUUAUUGGUGCCGUGUGCAUAUAUUUAGUAAUGGCUAAAGUUUCAAUGUAAAUCGUUAACUAGACUCCCAUGAUUGCGGUGGUGUAUUAUUCGGCAAAAAGUAUUAUUGUCGCCUUUAAAUGUUUUCAUUCACAUGUGUGGUCAUAUACUCCAUACCUAGACAAAUCUAAGACAAGAAUUUUGGGACUAAGGGAGUAUACUGCUUGGCGAAACAAUUGGUCGUUAUUUUCAAUAAAAGUAAACGUCAAGUGAUUUGUUUGGACCAAGCCCAAAUAGCUAAAAAGAAAAGAAUAAACUCUUCCCAACCAAACAACCACCUGCAAAAGUCCAUAACAAAAAUGCUCUAAAAACCCGUCAAAAAUGCUCUAAAAAUAUAUGAAAAAAAUUUAACACAGUAAAAAUAGCUUCAAAAUGUUCAUACUAUUUUUGUUUCACACAGAAAAUUCCAAAAAAUGUUCCAUUUUUACUAAAACAAAGUCCAUUUAGAAACGUUAAACAAAAAAACAUUAACAAAGUACAUUUAGAAAUGUAAAACACAAAAAACAUUCUUUUCAUAAAAGACAUGUAUUAAAAAUGUACUUUUUUCGUAAAAAAUGUUCCUUUUUAGAGAAAUAUUAUUUUCACAAAUAUGUUAUAAAUAUUCUUAAAAAGACUUCCAAUUUUUGUGAAAGCAAUUAAAAUAAGGAAUUUUGCAUGUUUGACCUUAUUAUAGACAUUUAUUAAAAUUGAAUAUAAAAAUGAUGCACAAUGGCACUUGUGCCUUUUUAUCGCCCGGUGCAACGCACGGGCAUUUGUACUAGUAGAACAUUAAUUUACAUACACGAGGGGCCCCCUCCAAAAUGCUCUUACGCCUUGUGGGGUCAUGCCCAAGUCAUGGCACGCAGGUGAAGCGAAAGAACGCGGGCUCAAUUGGAGAUGUCGCUUGCAGCGUCGUCCUGGUCGCUCUUGUACGCGUUGCUGGCUCUGCCGCUGGCGUCGUCUUCACCGUCAUCAACCACGCCGUCUUCGUCCGCCACGACCACCACUGCGUCAUCCUCGGUGGCGAACGCCCUGACCAGAGCGUCCACAUUAUCGUCCACCCAACACGCCAGGUUUUCUGGGAUAGCCCAGGGCACUGGGGCGAUAGCGGCGACAAAGUCGAAGUUGGGGUCAAGGUUCUGGAGAUGACUGAAGACGUAGGAGAACGCAUGCCCGAGGAGGCCUCAGCUCCUUUCCUCAACAAUCUCACGAGCCCUCGUGGACUGGUCCUUCAGGCGCGCCACGACUUCGGUAAAAGAGCGGAGAUGGCUGGCAUAGUCUUCCUCGUGGGGAUGAGGGGCGCGCUCUUCGCAGAUGACGCCCAGUGCCCGGUUGGCCCUCACCCUGAGGGCCUCGAGCAUGGGAGCAUGUUCACACUGCAACGUCUGCCGACGACAUGCCUCCUCUUUGUUCUGCUGCGCGAGGGACGCGGCAUCAUCAACCUGCUGCUGGAGCAAGAGCAGUUCAUCACGAGCAGAGGCCAGGUCGGCCUGGGCAGAGGUUAGGGCCACCACGUCAGUCCUCUCACGCUGCUCCGCCUCGUCUAGCCUUGACCUAAGGGCGGUGGUCCUGCCCCCAGCUUGGGCCUUCAGGAGCAGCAACUUCAGGUCGUACCCAUUGGAAAGAUCCGCGCGAGCCUUCGGAACCCUACGGUCAACCUCCUCCCGGAUCCCGGCUUCGUGCGUGUUGACGGCUUCUUCAGCCAGGGUCACUUGGCGCUCCCUUGUAUCCACCCGUUCAAGCUCGAGGCUGUGCUCUGCUACCUCUUGAGCAUGCGUUGGUUUUUCCUUGAAGAGGAAAGGGUGAUGCAGCAAAGUAGCGUAAGUAUUUCCCUCAGUUUUUGAGAACCAAGGUAUCAAUCCAGUAGGAGAUAACACGCAAGCCAGCUAGUACCUGUACAAACAAUUAAGAACCUCGCAACCAACGCCAUAAAGGGGUUGUCAAUCCCUUCACGGUCACUUGCGAAAGUGAGAUGUGAUAAAGAUAGUAAGAUACUAUUUUUGGUAUUUUUGUUGUAUAGAUUGGAAAGUAAAGAUUGUAAAAUAGUAAACGAGAUGCGAUGUAAAUAAAAAGAGAUGCAAUAUAAUAAGAAAGAGACCCGGGGGCCAUAGGUUUCACUAGUGGCUUCUCUCAUGAUAGCAUGUAUUACGGUGGGUGAACAAAUUACUGCCGAGCAAUUGAUAGAAGAUCGCAUAAUUAUGAUAAUAUCUAGGCAAUGAUUCUGAACAUAGGCAUCACGUCCGUGUUAAGUAGACCGAAAUAAUUCUGCAUAUACUACUAUUACUCCACACAUCGACCACUAUCCAGCAUGCAUCUAGAGUAUUAAGUUCAUAAGAACAGAGUAAUGCUUUAGGCAAGAUGACAUGAUGUAGAGGGAUAAACUCAAGCAAUAUGAUAUAAACCCCAUCUUUUUAUCCUUGAUGGCAACAAUACAAUACGUGCCUUGCUGCCCCUAUUGUCACUGGGAAACCACACCGCAAGAUUGAACCCAAAGCUAAGCACUUCUCCCAUUGCAAAUGAUCAAUCUAGUAGGCCAAACUAAACUGAUAAUUCGAAGAGACUUGCAAAGAUACACAUAAGAAUUCAGAGAAGAACCAAAUAUUAUUCAUGGAUAACUUGAUCAUAAAUCCGCAAUUCAUCGGAUCUCGACAAACACACCACAAAAAGUAUUACAUCGAAUAGAUCUCCAAGAACAUCAAGGAGAACUUUGUAUUGAGAACCAAAGAGAGAGAAGAAGCCAUAUAGCUAAUAACUAUGGACCCGAAGGUCUGUGGUAAACUACUCACACAUCAUCAGAGAGGCUAUGGUGUUGAUGUAGAAGCCCUCCGUGAUCGAAUCCCCCUCCGACAGAUCACCGGAAAAGGUCCCAGAUGGGAUCUCACGGGUACAGAAGGUUGCGGCAGUGGAAAAGUGGUUUCGUGGCUCCCCCUGAUGUUUUUAGGGUAUAAAAGUAUAUAUAGGCGAAGAAGUACGUCGGUGGAGCUCCGUCGGGCCCACGAGGAUGGGGGCGCGCCCUCCUAUCUCGUGGAAUCCUUGCGGAGUUCUAGACUUCCACACCAAGUCUCCUGGUUUGUGUUUGUUCUAAGAAAGGUCCUCGCGAAGGAUUCUUUCCGCUUGGAUUCCGUUUGAUAUUUUUUUUCUGCAGAACACUGAAACAGGCAAAAAACCAGAAACUGGCACUGGGCCUCCGGUUAAUAGAUUAGUCCCAAAAAUAAUAUAAAAGGGCAUAUUAAAGCCCAUUAAACAUCCAAAUCAGAUAAUAUAAUAUCAUGGAACAAUAAAAAAUUAUAGAUACGUUGGAGACGUAUCUCGCUCCGAGGCCUCUAGCAGCAGCGCCUCCUCGCGCUUCAAGAUCUCCUUCUCUUUGGAAGGCACCCCCUCAUCGACGCCAAGACAACCCUGCGCGCCUCGACCUGCUGCUCCAAGGUAGCGUUCAAGGCCUGGAGCUCCCGUGCGUGCUCCUCGGUGAUCUCGCGGCGGCGAUCAGCUUCCCUGGCCUCUUACAAGGCCCAGACGUUGGUCUCGCGCGAGGUCGCAAGGGAUGUCUCGGCUUUCACAUUGGCGCGCUCGCGUUGAAUACGCCUGAGGUUGAUGGCCACCAUCAAUUGAUGACAUUCGUCCACCAACCGAAGGACCUCAGUCUCAAGGCGGGCAUCAACGUCAACAAGCUCUUCCCCAAGCCGGCUCAACGCACCCAUCGCCCCCUGGAAGAGAUCAUUGAAGACAGCGCCGUGCCCGCACGCAAGCUCAAACGCACGGCCGGGUCUGUCCUUUGCACCAGGAAUCGUUGAGGAAGCUCGAGGUGGCUCUUCUGCUCCUGGCAGGAGGCAGGAGGCCAGUGCCUUCCACGCUGCUUUUUGGGCCUCGGCGCAGGCCCUAUGGGGCGGGGCCUCGUAGCUUGAGGACGAGGUCAAGGCUGAGGUCACCUAGCUGCGGGCGAUGACCAAUGGAGGGGCCCUCGGCAUGCCUUCAGCACCCCAGGCAGGAUCACGAAGGAGGGACGACAAGAGCGCAGGGUCAAGGCACCUGGUUGGCGCGUACACCUCCUCAACAGGCCUCGUGCCACGCACAACAAUCCGGCAGGGGAUGUUCAAGGCCAGUAGAGAGCCUAGAGUUGGUGGAGGUCGCUUCUCAGGAGAUUUCGCCGCCCUAGCCGAAGGGACCCUAAAGGAGUUGUGGUCAGGAGGGGAUACAUCACUCAGAAAGUUACGCAGAUGAGGUACUUACUCGUGUAUGGCGAUGUACUUCCUCUGCUUCAACUGCUGGUAGGUGCCACCCCUGCAGCUUGGAGACUGGUAACCCACAAGUAUAGGGGAUUGCAACAGUUUUCGAUAAGUAAGAGUGUCGAACCCAACGAGGAGCUAAAUGUAGAACAAAUAUUCCCUCAAGUUCUAUCGACCACCGAUACAACUCUACGCACGCUUGACGUUUGCUUUACCUAGAACAAGUAUGAAACUAGAAGUACUUUGUAGGUGUUGUUGGAUAGGUUUGCAAGAAAGUAAAGAGCACAAAAAUAAAACUAGGGGCUGUUAAGGUAAAGAAGCAACUAAAGUAAAUAUAGCGAGUGUGGAAAAGUGGUGGGGGAGUUGCGAAAUUGUCCCUUAAGCAAUUGACUACUUUACUAGACCGAUAGCAAGUAUUAUGUGGGAGAGGCCACUGCUAGCAUGUCAUCCCUUACUUGGAAUUCUAUGCACUUAUGAUUGGAACUAUUAGCAAGCAUCCGCAACUACUAAUGUUCAUUAAGGUAAAACCCAACCAUAGCAUUAAGAUAUAUUGGCCCCCCUUCAAUCCCGUAUGCAUCAAUUUCUAUGCUAGGUUGAAGCUUCUGUCACUCUUGCCCUCCAAUACAUAGUCCUAUCAACAUACAACUAAACCCUAGGGUGUGAUCCACGCGUGCAAUCAUAUGAUGGGCACCAAAGGACAGCAACAUAACCACAAGCAAAUUAAAUCAAUCAUAGCAAUUCAUCAACCACCGAUAGGACAACGAAAAUCUACUCAGACAUCAUAGGAUGGCAACACAUCAUUGGAUAAUAAUAUGAAGCAUAAAGCACCAUGUUCAAGUAGAGGGUACAACGGGUUGUGGGAGAGUGGACCGCUGUAGAUGGAGGGGGGAGGUGAUGGAGAUGUUGGUGAAGAUGGCGGAGGUGUUGGUGUAGAUCGCGGUGAUGAUGAUGGCCCCCGGUGGCACUCCGGUGCCACCGGAAGCGAGGGGGAGAGGGCCCCCCUUCUUCUUCUUCUUCCUUGACCUCCUCCCUAGAUGGGAGAAGGGUUUCCCCUCUGGUCCUUGGCUCCCAUGGCAUGGGAGGGGCGAGAGCCCCUCUGAGAUUGGAUGUAUCUCUCUCUCUGGUUCUGCGUUCUCUUCUGGCUCUGUUUCACCGUUUCGUAUAUAUAUGGAGAUCCGCAACUCCGAUUGGCCUGAAACCUUCGCCGUGAUUUUUUUUCCGAAUAUUAGCUUUCUUGUGGCAAAAGAAGAGCGUCAACCGCCUUACGGUGGGCUCACGAGGGUAGGGGCGCGCCCCCUGCCUCGUGACCACCUCGGGCACUGGUUCGCGUUGAUUUUCCUUCCGAAUUUUCCAUAUUUUCCAAAAAUAAGCUCUGUCCGUUUUUAUCCCGUUUGGACUCCGUUUGAUAUGGAUAUUCUGCGAAACCAAAAACAUGCAACAGACAUGAACUGGCACUAGGCACUGGAUCAAUAUGUUAGUCCCAAAAUAAUAUAAAAAGUUACCAAAAAAUAUAUGAAAGUUGAAUAAUAUUGGCAUCAAAUGACCAAAAAUUAUAGAUACGAUGGAGACGUAUCAGCAUCCCCAAGCUUAAUUCCUGCUCGUCCUCGAGUAGGUAAAUGAUAGAAAGAUAAUUUUUGAUGUGGAAUGCUACCUAGCAUUAUCUUGAUCAUAUGUCUAAUCAUGGCAUGAAUAUUAAGACACCAGUGAUUCAAGGCAAUAGUCUAUCAUUUGACAUAAAAACAAUAAUACUUCAAGCCCACUAAUAAAGCAAUCGUGUCUUUUCAAAAUAACAUGGCCAAAGAAAGUUAUCCCUACAAAAUCAUAUAGUCUCGCUAUGCUCCAUCUUCACCACACAAAAUAUUCACAUCAUGCACAACCCCGAUGACAAGCCAAGCAAUUGUUUCAUACUUUUGACGUUCUCAAACCUUUUCAACUUUCACGCAAUACAUGAGCGUGAGCCAUGGUCAUAGCACUAUAGGUGGAAUAGAAUAUGAUGAUGGAGAAGACAAAAAGGAGAAGAUAGUCUCACAUCAACUCGGCGUAUCAACGGGCUAUGGAGAUGCCCAUCAAUAGAUAUCAAUGUGAGUGAGUAGGGAUUGCCAUGCAACAGAUGCACUAGAGCUAUAAGUAUAUGAAAGCUCAAACUGAAACUAAGUGGGUGUGCAUCCAACUUGCUUGCUCAUGAAGACCUAGGGCAUUUGAGGAAGCCCAUCGUUGGAAUAUACAAGCCAAGUUCUAUAAUGAAAAUUCCCACGAGUAUAUGAAAGUGAUAACUCAAGAGACUCUCUAUAUGAAGAACAUGGUGCUACUUUGAAGCACAAGUGUGGUAAAAGGAUAGUAACAUUGCCCCUUCUCUCUUUUUAUCUCAUUUUUUUUCUCUUUUUUGGGCCUUUCUUUUAUUUUUAUUUUUUUUUCGUCCGGAGUCUCAUCCCGACUUGUGGGGGAAUCAUAGUCUCCAUCAUCCUUUCCUCAUUGGGGCAAUGCUCUAAUAAUGAUGAUCAUCACACUUUUAUUUACUUACAACUCAAUAUUACAACUCGAUAUCUAGAACAAAUAUAUGACUCUAUAUGAAUGCCUCCGGUGGUGUACCGGAUGUGCAAUGAUGUAGCGUAGCAAUGACAUCAAAAAACGGGAAAGCCAUGAAAACAUCAUGCUAGCUAUCUUACGAUCAUGCAAAGCAAUAUGACGAUAAAUGCUCAAGUCAUGUAUAUGAUGAUGAUGGAAGUUGCAUGGCAAUAUAUCUUGGAAUGGCUAUGGAAAUGCCAUGAUAGGUAGGUAUGGUGGCUGUUUUUAGGAAGGUAUAUGGUGGGUUUAUGGUACCGGCGAAAGUUGCGCGGUACUAGAGAGGCUAGCAACGGUGGAAGGGUGAGAGUGCGUAUAAUCCAUGGACUCAACAUUAGUCAUAAAGAACUCACAUACUUAUUGCAAAAAUCUAUUAGUCAUCGAAACAAAGUACUAUGCGCAUGCUCCUAGGGGGAUAGAUUGGUAGGAAAAGACCAUCGCUCGUCCCUGACCGCCACUCAUAAGGAAGACAAUCAAUAAAUAAAUCAUGCUCCGACUUCGUUACAUAACGGUUCACCAUACGUGCAUGCUACGGGAAUCACAAACCUCAACACAAGUAUUUCUACAAUCCACAACUACCCACUAGCAUGACUCUAAUAUCACCAUCUUUAUAUCGCAAAACUAUUGCAAGGAAUCAAACAUAUCAUAUUCAGUGAUCUACAAGUUCUAUGUAGGAUUUUAUGACUAACCAUGUGAAUGACCAAUUCCUGUCAUCUCUCUAAAUAGGUAUAAGUGAAGCAAGAGAGUUUAAUUCUUUCUACAAAAGAUAUGCCCACUCUGUAACAAAUAUAAGUGAAGCAAAAGAGCAUUAUACAAAUGGCAGUUGUAUAUGUAAAGAGAAACAGGCAAUCCUAGCUUCAAAUGAUAUAAGUGAAGCACAUGAAGCUUUCUAUAAAGCCAUACUCAAAGAAUAUAAGUGAAGUGCAAAUAGCAUUAUAUAAAUCAACCAAGGACUAACUCAUACCAGCAUGGUGCAAAAAAGAAAAAGAAAAACCUAAAUGCAAAAUACGCUCCAAGACUUGCACAUAUCGCAUGAACGAAACGAAUCCGAAAACAUACCGAUACUUGUUGAAGAAAGAGGGGAUGCCUCCCCAGCAUCCCCAAGCUUAGACGCUUGAGUCUCCUUGAAUAUUUACUUGGGGUGCCUCGGGAAUCCCCAAGCUUGAGCUCUUGCCUCUCUUCCUUCUUCUCACAUCGAGACCUUCUCGAUCAUCGAACACUUCAUCCACACAAAACUUCAAUAGAAAACUCGGUAAGAUCCGUUAGUAUAAUAAAGCAAAUCACUACUCUAAGUACUGUUGCAAACCAAUUCAUAUUUUGUUUUUGCAUUGUAUCUACUGUAGUAUAACUUUUUCAUGGCUUAAUCCACCGAUAUAAAUUGAUAGUUUCAUCAAAACAAGCAAACUAUGCAUCAAAAACAGAAUCUGUCUAAAACAGAACAGUCUGUAGCAAUCUGAACAUUCACCAUACUUCUGAUACUUGAAAAAUUCUGCCAAAAUUAGGAACAAUAAAAAAUUUGUACAUCAAGACAGUGCAAAAAGAAUCAUAACUAUUUGACGUUCCAGCUAAAAAUGUAAAAUCGCGCACUACAGCCAAAGUUUCUGUCCUGCACCGCACAAACCAUCAAGCAAAUGUAAACAUCCUAAAGGCAAACCUUGGCACAUUAUUUUUAUAAUACAAUGGAAUUGUACAAGGGGAUAAUUAUUUUUAUUGAAAAGUUUCUGUAAUCAAGAUUCACAAAGUUGCCGUGAGCAUGAACAAAGUUCAAGGAGCUCUCCCACUUCAACAGUGCUUGUCUUUCUCACUUUCACUUUCCUUUUUGAAAAGUUUUGGGUUCCCCUCUUUAUUUUUGUUGUUUUUAAACUAUAUGAAAGCACUCAACAGAAAUAAAUAACUCUCUAAAACUUCCAGGUUGUCUCCCUGGCAGCGCUUUCUUUAAAGCCAUUAAGCUAGGCAUAUAGUGCUCAAGUAGUGAAUCCACCCGGAUCCCAAGGUAUAUCAAAGCCAAUUUUAAUUAACAAUGAUUUGUAAUUUAGUAGUGAGCACAAAGCAACAUAUAUCAAGCAAUGACGAAGUAUAACUCUCUUCCUAUGCAUCGGCAUGUCAUAAAAGAACAAUUCAUGCACACCUAGUAAAGGCCAAUGCAUAGUAUAAACAGUUUCUUGCAAUUUUAUCAUGUUGGAAACAUAGAGAGGUGGAGAUAUAGUUCCUCUCUCAUAAUAAUUGCAAGUAGGAACAGCAAGCACAUGCAUAUUAUAUCUAUAAAAAUCAUCAUGUGCAACGGUAAAAGGCAACCCAUCAAUAUAAUCCUUAAUAAGUGCAAACUUCUCCGAUAUAGUGUAGUUGGGAGAAUUCAAAAAGAUAAUAGGACUAUCAUGCGUGGGUGCAAUAGCAACAAUUUCAUGUUUAACAUAAGGAACUAUAGCAAGUUCAUCUCCAUAAGCAUAAUUCAUAUUGGCAUCUUGGCCACAAGCAUAGCAAGCAUCAUCAAAAAGGGAUAUUUCAAAAGAAUCGACGGGAUCAUAGCAAUUAUCAUAGCAUUCAUCCUUCGGUAAGCACGAAGGGGAAUUAAACAAUGUAUGAGUUGAAGAGUUACUCUCAUUAGAAGGUGGGCACGGGUGAUCAAUCCGCUCUUCCUCCUUUUGUUUUUCGCUCUCCUCAUCAUCUUUUUCAUCCAAUGAGCUCACGGUUUCAUCAAUUUCUUCUUCCAUAGACUCCUGCAAAAUAUUAGUCUCUUCUUGGACAGCAGAGUAUUCCUCAAUAUAUUGUUUAACAUAGGUAUUAGAAGCAUAAUUAUCAUAGCAAUAUUUAAGUAUAGCAAAUUUUUCAGAUUUGUGAAAAGUAGCAUCAUACUUUUCAAUCAAAGAAGCAAUUUCAUAAGCACCGUCAAAAGCAACAAAUUCUUCAAUUUGUUGAACAUCAUAGUAAUUGUAAACACCCUUAGCAUACGAAGAUAAGAUUCCAUUAUCACUAAACUCCGGAGUAAGGAAUUAAUCACUUGGAUAAAACAAGAAUAAGAAUUACCUUAUGCUCAUCCUUCACCAAUUAAAUUGAUGACAAACAAUGGAUUUGGCAUACUACUCAUUCUCGUAGAAGGGAUUAAGAAGAUAUAACAUAAACUUGGGAAGGUCUUCGACAAAUCCACUGGUAGGAUUGAAACAACGAAUAAAUCAAUAUGAUACCAAGAGAAAAGGAAUAUUGGAUGAACCACCGUAAGAAUUAAAAUGACCGAGGAAAAGAUAAGGACAACACCGGGAAGAAUUAGCAAAUGAACGAAGAAGCUUGAGAGAAUUUAGAUACAUGAGAACGAAGCAAUCACAAGCUGAUAAGAGAAUACUUGAAUGAUGCACCAGUAAGAUUUGGAGAAUGAUAGCUGAAAGCUGAGAAUGAAUAAAUCUUCUGAAAUGAUGGGCUUCGGAGAAUCAAACAGAAAAGACUCUUGAAUUGCUCCAGAAGGAUGAAAAGAAUUUCCACAAUCAAAAACAAUUACGAGAGGAUGGCCUCAAAUUAGAAUCACGAAUCUCUGAGAGAAUAGAUAAGAUAUGGAGGAAACACUCUUAUUCGGUCUUCAAAAUCCGAGAAUGACGACGAGAAACACUACCAAGAAUUGUUCAGGCACUACGGAAUGAAGAAUGGAAAAGGUUGAGCCAACGAUGAAAAGAAUUUAACCGAUCUUGGAUAAAGGCAUUUGACUGAUGAUAAAUCAUUCUUACGUCAAACUUUGAGAUGAAUAUGAGAAUAACUCCGGAAAUUAGAAGAGUCAGGUAAGAUCCUGGGGAAAAGACCUAUGGGUUAGGGCCCACUCAAAAAAUACACCGUAGAACAAUUUAAAAGAGAGAAUGCACCAGUUGAAUUAAAUUGCUAGAAUGAGAUAACAACCUCGAAAUAGGUUGAACGGAUCUUGAAUGACAAGACGAGCCUUUUGAGAAAGCUUGAGCACGCCGGAACAAAUGAAUAGUGAGAAGUGAAUUAUUAUGAGGUGCACCGGUAUGAGAAGGCAUUGAAAUGAGGAAAGGGUAAGAUCAACAAAGCUUGACUUGAAACCACCGGAGAAGAUAAAAGAAAUGAAGAAUGAUGAACUAGAAGCUCCGUUAGUAUCUUCAUGAGAAUCACCAGAUAAGAACAUUGAAGGAAAAGAAUGGAGAGGCUUCACAUCAAUAAGAUGGAUACUCGAUUAAGAAAUCUGAGUCCUUGAAGAAAAACAAGGGAGGGAGGGCGGGAAAACAAAGGCAACAUGGAGAUGGAUGAAACAAACAACAUUGAGAAGAACUGAUAAUUGAUUUUGCGAAUGUUGAAGUGAUCGGAUCCACUUGAAGAGAGGCACACCGGUAGAACAAGAUUGACAUAACAAUCUCGAUUAUCGAGAAGGAUUAUUAUUCACAUCGGAGUAUGAGAACACCAUUUGGGGAAGGUAUGGAAUCAACACUUGACAUUGAAGCAACUCGAAUACCACAACUCCAAACAAAAACAAAGGAUUGGCUUGCAGAAUAAGCCGGAACAAACAUAUGAUAGAGAUUUCGUCCGAAGUUUUUGUGGUGGGGCCUACACGGGCUCGAUCGUACAGCACCAUCAUGUACAAGGUAGUGCACAUGACAUACGAAGCGUCCCGAGUCGGCAUAGCCAAGGACUCUUUAAGACACAACGAGACCACUGUAAAACCAACCGUGAAUAGGCGGACCACUAGACGUCGAACCCCAAUUUCAUAUCAUAUAUCCGUCGGAAAGAUAUCCUAAGAGCUACUUGAAUUCCCACUUAUAAACUCCUGAAAUUUUCCCGGUUAUGCAAUCAUGUGUUGGGGAUACAGGGGAAGCAUAAUAUCUCACCCAAAACUAACAAAUCCUACAUCCAGCUGUAUCCAUCCUCCAACACAUAACCAAGAAACCUUCAGAAAUCGUUUACCUCAACCUUCGAAAAGCAUCCGUUAUACGAGUUAUGGCAAUACUCCCGAACUCCCGCCCCAGUACUGGGUGGCGUCGAGGUUAUCUCACCAACAACUGCAUAAAAGAGAUUUUCGAUGUCGGCGAAACUAAACUCAGGUAUUCCAGAACUGCAACGAUAAAAUUGUGACGACAACACCUCAGAGCUCAACUCCCCGGGACACUGCCACAACCCCUAAAUGAUAGGAGGCACCAAGAGCAAUGUUCUUGUCACAAAACCAUCGGAACGAUUCCAAGAUACCCGCGUGAUCCUAAAUUUUUUUUAGUGAAAUUUAAGAAGAGAAGAGUCAAAACUCUACGUCAGGAUGCCUCACCAGAGCGAUGAAGGGACUGAGGUGUAAAAAGAAGUCCCAACUCUCCGAUAUAUAUAAUUCCUAAAUGACUCAAAACAUUUUUCUAGACUCAACAACGCCAGCUAUUCGAUCAAGCAGGGGGCUCCUAAGGUCGGGGAAGGCUCUGAUUACCAACUUGUAACACCCUCAAUGCGGCUAUAUCUCCCACGUGUCGAAGCACGACUUAGAGGCAUAACCGCAUUGAAAGCAAUGUUGCAAGUGAGGUAAUCUUCGCAAACAACCCAUGUAAUACAAUAAGGGAAAAGAUACAUAGUUGGCUUACAAUCGCCACUUCACACAAAUACAUGAAUAAAGCAUUACAUCAUCCAAAUACAAUCAGGGCCCGACUACGGAGCCAAAAUAAAAGAAGACUACCCCAAAUGCUACACAGAUCCCCGAUCGACCCCAACUAGGCUCCACUACUGAUCAACUAGAACGAAACAACACAAAGGGCAAUAUCUCCAUCGAGCUCCUCCUUGAGCUUGGUUGCGUCAACUGCACGGUUCAACGACACCUACAAGCUGGUUUUGGAAGUAUCUGUGAGUCACGGGGACUCAGCGAUCUCACACCCUCGCGAUCAAGACCAUUUAAGCUUAUGGGAAGGGUAAAAGGUAUGAGGUGGAGCUGCAGCAAGCGACUAGCAUAUAUGGUGGCUAACUUAUUUGCAAAAGAGAGCGAGAAGAGAAGGCAAAAGCACGGUCGAACAACUAUGAUCAAGAAGUGAUCCUAGAACAACCUACGUCAAGCAUAACUCCAACACCGUGUUCACUUCCCGGACUCCGCCGAGAAGAGACCAUCACGGUUACACACGUGGUUGGUGCAUUUUAAUUAAGAUCAACUUCAGGUUUUCUACAACUGGACAUUAACAAAUUCCCAUCUGCCCAUAACCGCGCGCACGGCUUUCGAAAGUUCAAAACCCUGCAGGGGUGUCCCAACUUAGCCCAUCACAAGCUCUCACGGUCAACGAAGGAUAUUUCUUCUAGCGGGAAGACCCGAUCAGGCUCGGAAUCCCGUUUACAAGACAUCCUCGACAAUGGUAAAACAAGUCCAGCAAGACCACCCGAUGCACCGACAUCCCGAUAGGAUCUGCACAUAUCUCGUUCUCAGGGCACACCAGAUAAGCUAAGCGUACGGGAGCCAACGUAACCCAAGUUGCCAAGGGACGGCCCCGCACGGUGCUCUGGGUUGGACCAACACUUAGACAAGCCCUGGCCCGGGGGUUUAAAAAUAAAGAUGACCCUCGGGAUGCGCGACUCCCAAGGGAAAAGGCUAGGUGGCGAAUGGUAAAACCAAGGUUGGGCCUUGCUGGAGGAGUUUUAUUCAAAGCGAAUUGUCAAGGGGUUCCCAUUAUAACCCAACCGCGUAAGGAACGCAAAAUCCGGAAACAUAACACCGAUAUGACGGAAACUAGGGCGGCAAGAGUGGAACAAAACACCAGGCAUAAGGCCGAGCCUUCCACCCUUUACCAAGUAUAUAGAUGCAUUAAUUAAAUAAGAGAUAUUGUGAUAUCCCAACAAAAUAUCCAUGUUCCAACAUGGAACAAACUCCAAUCUUCACCUGCAACUAACAACGCUAUAAGAGGGGCUGAGCAAAGCGGUAACAUAGCCAAACAACGGUUUGCUAGGACAAGGUGGUUAGAGGCUUGGCUUAACAAUAUGGGAGGCAUGAUAUAGCAAGUGGUAGGUAUCGCAGCAUAGACAUAGCAAAAGAGCGAGCAACUAGCAAGCAAAGAUAAAAGUGAAUUCGAGGGUAUGGUCAUCUUGCCUGAGAUCCCGCAAGGAAGAAGAACGAGUCCAUGAAGAAGACAAACGGACAUAGUCGAGCGGAUCCUCACAAACAUGACGUUACCGGAUUACCAAGAAGUACACCGGAAAGAAGGCAAACAACAUAGUAAACAAUUAUCACAUAAGCAUGGCACGAUGCGCAAACAAAUAUGAUGCAUGCCCGGUUUAAAAAUGCAUGGCAUGGCAAAGGGCACAAACAAAACUACAAGUUAAGUGGAGCUCAAUAUGCAACGAGUUGCAUAUUGAUGGAACACCACAUCAAUUAUUUAGUUCUCUCUCGUUUAUGUACCCAACAAUAUUAAAUGUUGUUAAACAUGGCAAGAGGUGAAACAUGAGUAAAAUACACAGUUAGGCAUUUUAAAUGAGGCCAGAAACAUCAAACAACAAUUCCGGUAAAUCCUCAUGUGCAUUUAGCAGUUUAAUGCAACAACAAUUUAAACAUUUUAAUUGUUGUUAUCAUGAUGCGGAUGACAUGGACAAGUUUAUGCAAUUUUUAUUAAAGUUGACAAGAGCAAUAUGAAGCAUUUGUCACCGUGGUGGAAAGGAAAAGGGGUGCCACGACAACGAUAAUGAAACGGUGCCACGCAAUGUUCCAGUUCCGGCAACUCAUUGAGACGUCGGUGCAAAAGAAAGUGUGGCGGGAGCAUGCAAAAGAUGGUGGGGCGCUCCCGGAUACCGGGUGUCCCAAGAGUUGAUGACAGUGUCAAACGAGGGAACAACUAACGUUCACGGGUGAAUUACAACAACCAACAUGCAUCUCAUACAACUCAUGCAUACGGUCCAUGAGUGGUCGUCUCGAGGUUAUACCUUCGAAGUGUGCCUUUUCGGAACGGAUCAAGUUCGAUGCGGUGUAGGGGAAGUAGACGCUCUCGGGACGUUCGUAGUGGAAGUAGUCGUUCUCGCAUGCUCUAGGAUCGAUGGUAGAGGUUCUCGCAAUCUCGACGGCGGUAAUGGUACAUGUUUUCCUAUAGAUGUGCAGGGUCACGGCGAGGAACUUGAUGCAUCGUUGAACUUGGCGUCCGAGGAAUCCCGCGUAGUCAUACACGAGUCAUAGUCGAACUUGACGGUUCCGUUACAUGGUUCUUCGGAGACGGUAGUUGUUCUCGGUUCGUACACGAACUUGAUGGAUCCGAGGGCUCCAGCCAUCGGGUACUUAACACAACGCCGAGUAGUCGUACGUUUUGAAGAGGAACUUGGCGUCCGAAGGUGUACUUGGCGAAGAACGGUCAUCGUGGAAGUAGUGGUACUUAGGUGUUUCGUUCAGCACUCGUUUGGGCAUCCUUGGUCUUGCCAGCGGUGUGGGUCUCCUUGGGUCAAACAAGAUGUGCCAGACCAGAUUGGCGACGGGGACUUGAAGCAUGGUUCCUGCAGUGCUGGUAACGGCGAAGACGAGUGGAUCCUGGUCGGCCGGCGUUGGAUCCGGGCAAACGGUGGCACGAACGGAGCCCAGGGGCGGAGGGGCUUGAGCGCGGGACGGCGGCCUGGUGGCGUUGGCGCUCCUGCAACAGUUCACGUGAAGGAAGAGCGACGGGGAGGCAUGGGCGAGGAGGUGGACACCAGCAGUGGCAGCUCCGUGGCAGGUGGCCAGGGCCAUGGACGGCGAAGCAGCAUGGCGGCACGCUCGCGGCAGGCUUCUGCAGCCACAGAAGAGGACGAGGCAGGGGCGUCGAGCUCCCAGAGGUGGGAGCUGGUCAUGGUCGCCGGCGAUGGAGGCGGAGCAGAGGAGGCGGUCGAGGCCGGCGCUGGUCAGCACUGCGGCGGCGUCCUGCUGGUGGCCGGCGAUGUGGACAUGGGGCGGCGGAGUCGCAGGUGAAGAAGCAGAGGCACAAGGAGGACCAUGGCGACACGGGCGACGAAGCAGCAGCGGUGCUGGCGCCGAGCCAUGUGGCGGGGAGGCGAGGAGGUGGAGAGGGAUCGAGAAGGAGAGGCUGCGGGAGGAAGAUGGGAUCGAGGGAGAUGGUGGUUCGGGCGUGCGGGUCUCUCUCUGGCGGCGCGAGGGGAGAGGAGAUCGUGAGGAGAUGGGGAUCGGGCUCCCUAUCGGCUAGGGUUAGGUAGGCAAGGGCCGGCUGGGCCUAAGGGUCAAAAGGGCCGACGCUGGAGAUGGGAGGCCCAGGUGGGCAGCGGGAAAAAAUGGCCUAGAGGAGAGGGAGGCCGCGCCUAGGGAGGCCGGCGGCUGGGCCUUAGGCCAAAUUGGUGGGCUGCGUUCUCUCCUCUCUACACUCUCUGUUUAUAUAAAUAAACAGUUUCAAUGAAAGGAAAAGGCCAGGGACUAGAAGAGGAGUUUUUCAGAUAUAAAAAUAUCCUCAAUCUCCUGGAACUAUACUCUAUUUGAUAGAAUUGCCUUGGAUAUAUUUAGAGGUAGAAAAAUAAAACAAGUUUAAAUAUGAUUCAAACUUGAGGCAUUUUUGAACCUAACCAAAACAACUCCAAAGGAUCUGAAAUCUAACAGAGAGGUUGAAGGCAUGGUCGAGAAUUUAUAGGAAAAUAAUGAACAUUAAUAGAUAAGGGGAAAGUGGCACUUACAGAAGAAAGAACUAGAAGGAAAGUAGAAGGAGAUGAUGCAUGGGACAAAGGCAUGGGGAAACAUUUUGCAAGUGUGUCAAGAUAAUUCCAAAUUAAUGAAAUGUUUAAUAUAGCUCCCUACUAUUGGGAGGAUAUGUUAUAAAGAGAAUCACCACGUGAAUUCCCUCGAUUUAAAUGGACCCAAGAUCCAUGCAAUUUAUUUAGUUGAGUUGCAAAAGAUUUAUGAGAUGAUGUAAUGAUGACAUGACAAGAUGCAACACGCAAGCGAAUGACAAAGCAACACAACGAAUAACUGGAGGACACCUGACACAUCGGUCUCGGGGCGUCACAGGAGUAGUCGAAGUGUACAUGGGGAUGAUCAUAGGAUGCUCCACAUCAUCUCACCCACCCACCCUCUUGGGAAAGAUCCGACCUCGGAUCGUGAUCCUCAUCACCAUGGAAACAUUUGUUGUGGACGGACUUGUAGUUAGACGGAGUUGAAGAAAUUGCACAAUCCAAGUACUCCAAGGUGUCGCUGGAGUGGUAUACAUGCAAAAAGAGCAAACACAAACGACACUCGGAAAUACAAUGGUUAGCGCACACAAAGUGUCCAUCAUGUAAGAGUGAGUCCGUGCGGCAAGGUUGUUCAUGACAAAGCACAUGAAGCUUAUCAAGAUGAUAUAGAAUGAUAUGCAAAGCGUUCAUGGGAGCAAACACAUUCAUUGUCCACACAAAUAUGUUGUGAAUAUGAUCAAUGCAACCACAAUGCAAAAUGAUGUCAUAGUGAGAUGGUAUAUCAAUAGCAUGAAUAUGGCAAUGGAUGCUCAAUAUGAAUAAGUUAUCAUGCAAUUGAUGGUAUGCAAUAUGAUCAUGAUGUAUGAAUAUGUCAUCAAGAAAGAUCACAACAAAUUUGCUAAGAAAGUGCACAAGCUCAUAUAUCAUGGAUGACAUGGUAAUACAAGAUGCAACAAGGCAAUCAUAAUGUGAGUCAAUCCAUGCAUAAGACGCAAAUUUGUUAUGUGUGGUGUUGUACCAAAGCUCGAUGUUGUGGCACUACUCGACUUGAAGGUCCAUAGGGUCCAUCUCCAAUGUCGGUCCUCCGUCCAAUAUGUGUAUCAUGUAGACAAGAAGAAGGAAACAAUAAUGAAAGAAUGACUCAUCCAAUAUGCGUAUGUGAGGAUGUGUCAAAUGGAAGGAGUUCACCUUAUGAGUGUUCCCAAAGAUGUUGGAGUUGCACGUCAUGUAGGCCUUCACAUAACCAAUAUGUCUCAUGAUAGUGGUGCCUUGUGAUUCCUUGAAAAUGAAACAACAUGACAAACACUCGAAAAAACAAAUGAGGUUAGCGGAAGUGCAGAACCAAUCAUUCAUGUGGUAAGAUACCCAACAAGUGUAUGCAUCAUGCUCAUCAUAAGAAAGGACAAGGGAGCAUUUCAUAGUAUGGAGGCAUAUGAUGCGAGAACAACCAAAUACAAUAGGCUCAAUCAAACAAGCAUGCAUCACAAGUAAGGUGUCAAAGUCUCCAAGAUCAAUAGUAUGGUUGCACUCACUACAAGUAGAUAUGAGAGAGGCAACUAAUGGAGAUAAGAGACAAUGAUCAAGAUAUGUCACGUGAGAGGCAUGAACAUAUAUGUCAUCAACCCAAGAAAGCGAGUAAGAGUGGAACAUGGGUGAUGCGACAAGGCAAACAAUCAUAGUGAUCAAGUCAAGCAAGCUAGUAGUGCGAAGAUGCAACAUACUAGAAGGAAUCAUGGCAAUCAUGUCGUGUGUGCAAAUAGUGGGCAUGAAUAAUGCACAAGACAUAUCACAAGCAUGAAGGCAAGAUAUGAGCAAAAUAUCAUCAAUGUAUUGGUGAGAGGCCAUAUGUAAAUAGCAAUGGGACAUCAUGACUCUCCCAACACAAUAAGUAUCAAUAGCAUGGGGCACAAAGAAAUCAUGGCAAUAGCUACAAGGAUCUCUACGAAGCAUGCAAAUACACAUAGGAGUAACAUAAUGGUGAAUCGUGGAUGUAUGCACGCAAGGGUCACAAUUGCAUGGCAAAAUCAUGUAAAGAGGCAUAGCAUGCAAAGUGAACAUGAUAGUAUGGGCAUAAGGUAACAAGUGAUAUAUAGCCCAUAGCCAUGUGAGAGCCAAGUAAAAGAGAUGCGUGUAGUCCUUGCGUGAAGGGAAUGGUGGUAAGGAUAGUCCACGAGAUCCCAAGUCAUCUUUGCUCGCAAGAGCUCGUUUUGCCAACUCUUGGGAUUGAGAAGUUGACGAGUAUACAUAAGUACCUACACAAAACAAAGACAAAGGGAAAAUUGUGUGUGUGUGUGUGGUAUAUGUACACAUCAUCCGUUAUGAUGCGCACAUGCUUGUGUUGGUUAGCACAAAAUAUACAAUGCUCAGAUAAAUGAGAUGCAUGAUAGAGAAACAUGUCAUCCAUCAUGAUAGGUUUGUUGUUAUGUAUAGCAUAAUGGAGACCCAAAUUGUGUAAUGCAUCAUGGGAAAUAUGUAGAACAUUGUUAUUCAUGGAAUGCAUAUGGUGCAAGCAAUUAUGGGAAUCAUGCAAAGUAUGGAAUGCAUAAAAAUCUCCUAAUAUGUAUGAGGAAACUAUGGGGGUCUCCUCAUGAGCAUUAAUGGAAACAUCACACAGAUAAUAUUGACAACAUCCAAAACAAUGCAUAUUUGGAAUAAUGUGAUCAUGGCAUGGUAUAGUAGAUGAAUUGCGCAAAUCAUGUAAAGGAAGCAUGGCAAUAUCAUCUCAUGAAAAACAAAAUCCAAUGACCAGCAUCUCGUCAUCUAUGCCAUAAGUGCAAAUGGGAUUUAUUUUAAUGGGGCAUGCAUAGUUACUAUGUUGAGACUGAAAUGAUGCAAUAUGGGAGAUCUCACUCAUAGACUAUGAUAUGUUUAAAGGAUUGUCAAACAUGACAUCACCAAUAGAAUUUUCACAUGAUAACCUAUGGAGCAUAACAUCACAACCAGGAAAUUCAACAUGCUCAUCAUCAUAUUCAUCAUAAAUUGGUAAGUCAUGACAUGAGGAAGUCGCACUAGCAUGAAGCAUGGUCAUAGGUGUGUCAACAUCAUGCAAGAAAUCAUUGGUAAUAUAGUCCACUAGUGGGACAAGAGAAGCACCAUCACCUAUGUUACCUUUGGAGCAUCGCUCAUGUGUUGUAGGUGAGGUGUCGAAGACCAAGUCGUGGUCAUCUUCAUCUUGAUGGAACCAUGUGGGGGUGCAUCAUCGUCCACCAUGGCCAUCAUCGUCUCCGUUGGAGGUAUGAACUCGUCGAGGAUAGGCAUGUCAUCAUGUAGGUGACCUAGCACCAAACAAGAAAACAUACUCAGAGUAGAGGUUAAGUCGUUAGAAAGCAUAGUGGCCUCACAUGCACUAUCAACUAACUCACUCACUAAGUGUUGUGGCUCACUCACUCCCAGUAAGAUGCUCUCACUCAUAUGGUUGGUGGAGUCACUCAAAUGGCUCUCAACCUCACAUAGGAUGUGUGGCAUGCUCUCAUGUGUGGGGCUAGUAGUGGUCACACUCAUCCUCUCAUAGGAAAUGAUCUCAACGUCAUGUAUGGUGGAAUCACUCAUGCCACUCAUGUGGUAGUGGCUCUCCUCACAUGGAAAUUGGGGCAUCUCGUCAUAUGUGGGUGUCGAAGAGAUGUAGGUGCACAUGUCUCCAUGCUCAAUCAUGUCGUAGUCGUCGCCGUGGAUGAAGGCCGAAGAUGGCACAUCAUCACUCUCCUCUAAGACAAAAGAUAAGGUCUCAUGUGCGGUCUCAUAGAUUGACUCAGAGUAUGAGUACCGUUGGGGCGCUGUGUUCAUGUUGUUGAAGAGGUUAGCGCUCGUCGCCGUGGUCGAAGGGGAUGGCCCUUGGUCGACCUUCUUGUCACCGUCUUGUUGUUUGAGGCCCAUAUGAUGUGGCACCUCAUAGCUCAUCUCCAUGACCGAAGGGAAUGUCCCAUGGUCGGCCAUCUUCCUUGACAGGCUUCCGAAGAUGGAAGUGUCACCCUCGCUUGUAGGUGGUCGCCUCAUUGUUGAAGAUGUCGAUGUAGGCGAACUCGUGCGAAGUAGGCGAAGAUGCCGUAUGUCCAAAGGCGAAGAUGCCUUGAUAGCACUUGGUGAAGAUGCCGAAGUGGUGGUGGUAGUAGCCGUAGCUUCCUCUUGGUGGUGCUUGUCUCGCGGUCUUAUCUUUUGCUCAUGAAGCUUGGACUUGGCGUGUAGUAGGGCUUGUUGGGACUUGUGUCUUUGCGCUUGGCGAGCAUCUUCAUGUUGAUGAUGUCAUUGUCCUGCUUGAGCUUGUAGUAGAUGUCGUUCGUCGUCAUCAUGCAGAUGAUGCUUGGAGGUGACUCGCCUUCAUGACGAUGUGGAUCACGAACAUGAUGGUGGUCGCCAUGGAGAUGUGGACGUGAACGACUUGCGCUUGCAUCAUUUUUGCGCUCCAAAGAUUUGUGACUUGAAUGUCGCCGCCUUGAGGAUGACGAAGGGGAAUAACGGUUGAUCAACAAGGUCUGAAUCUCCUCCAUCUUUGCAUCUUGCUCCUCUUUUUGUGCGGAAAACUUGUUGUCGAAGUAGUCCCUUCUCCUAGCUUCAGAAUGUCAUAAGUUGGUGGUCAUGUUGUCGAUGACUUGCAUUGCUCGUUGUAGUCCGAAGCGGGGAGUUUUCUUGUUGUAGUUGUAUGCGCCAUCCUUGUUGUGCAAGACCGGAGAUGAAAUGCCUUGUCUAUCCAUCACAAGACUCAAGCAAAUAUGAGUGGGAGAAAGAGAAGAACUCAUACCAAAUGUACCUUGACCGAAGUUGAAGAUGGAUCAAUGAUCACUCAAUAAGGUAACAAGGAAAUAGCACAAUUGAUACUGAUCUCAUCAAUUCUCACACCUACACAUGUAAGGAUUAUGGUGGAGCUCGGUGAGGAUAUUGGCACAGAUUUUUUAAUGCAAAAUGUUAGCAAGAGUCAAAAAUGUUGAAAGAGAUUCACAAAUUCACAAGUAAAACAAGUAGACCAAUAGCAAUAUGGGUGGCACACGAAAAUUCGCACACGGAUAGAUAAAUGGGGUCGUGCAACCAAGGAUGAACACAAAAUGUGGAAUCCAUAGAAAAUGCUCUUGUUGCACAACUCUAGAGAGACGCUAGCAUGAUUGCUCAAUAGGCGGAUACGACACUUGUGCACAAACUAUAGGAGACAAAAAUGCAGCUGACUUCUAUCCCAAGUAUGCUAUGUAUAUAUGAUGUUCCCGGUGUUUCUCACACGAUGAUCCAAGAUGAUCAAUAUGGUAGUAUGAUAUAUAAUGUGUCGAUGCUAUGGCACUUGCUUACGAGCUUCUUUUCUCUCUCUUUUUCUUUGCCUAAAAUCUUAUUCUUUUUUUUGAUAUGGCCACAAUGCGAAAUGCAAAAACCAAGAUAGCAAUUGGGUAUAUACGGGAACAAUCUUGUGACACAAGGGAUGAUAUGAUACCAAUAUGAUAUGGUAUGUAUGCAAUGGAUGGUUGAGUCAUUGAUCACUAAUGUGCACAAGUAACGUUGCUGGCAAUACUCAAAUGGCUAGUCUCGAUAUGCAUGUGACGCAAAAUGGGCUAGGGGUUAACAAUGCAAUUGCAAGGGGAAUAUACAAUGGUGUUGUCGAGGUUACCGUCCUUGGAGAUGAUGAGUGGCGGUGUUCUUGAUGUAGAACCGUCCCUAAUUAGCCUAAACAUCUUAGGAAACGGAAAAACCACGAACUCAAAAUUUCCAAAGGCAAAUGUCAAAUGGUGGUAGCGGAAUGCAGUGGUGGUUGCGGAAGUAUCAGUGGGAACCCGGUCAAAAUGGGUUAAUGUAGCGGAAGGGUAUGACGGGCUAUACACGGUGUCAGAUUUGAAAUCACGGUCCCUAAGUAGUCGAAACACCUUAGGAGACACAACUCACAACACAAACAAAAUUGGGUUAUGUUGGGGGUGGUGGAAGUGUAUGGUGGGCAAGCCUAUGCGGAAAUGGUGGUGGUGGUUGGUGAAUAAGGAACCAUCCCUAAGUAGCCGAAACACCUUAGGAGACUCAAGUCACAACUCAAACAACCACCUAUGCAAUGGCGAACAAAAUGGGUUAGGUUGUGAAAGGCUAUGGUGGUUUGGCGGAAGUUAUGGUGGAAGCCCUGGGCAAAGAUGCCAAAGUUACAGAAUUUUGAUGGAGUCAAAUGAUGUGGGUGGUAUUUUUAUGGAAAGGGGGAUAUCAAUAUCUUCAAAAGGAGCUAAAGAACGUCAAAAACGGACUUCGGAUGAAUUAGUUAUGGCCGAAACAAGAAUUCAGCAUAGUCAGUUUCAGGGUUACCCGGACAUCCGGAGUAGGCCCGGAUGAUCCGGGUUCGUCAACCGGAUUUCUGGCGCGUGGGGUGUCCGGACGUCUGAGAGAGGGUCCAGCUGAUCCGGGCUGGUCCGGAUGAUCCGGCAGGUUAAACUGCUCGGGAUUUCCUCUCGGGGACAAACUUUUGGGCAAAAAUUGGAUGAUUUCGGGGCAAAAAUUGAGGAGAUUUUGUGGAUGGAAGGUGGGGAAACUUGUGGAGAUGCUAGAUCCACUCGAAACCAAGCAAAUCCAUGGAUCAAAAUCAACAAAACAUCAUCAAACCAACAAAUCACAAAAAAAUUGGGGCUAUUUUUGGUGGGGAUUUUCGAAUUUAGGAUGAAAUCACACAAAACGAGGCUAGAAAACGGUGGGGGGGGGAGUCCAAAUUCAUGAUAAACGUGGCUCAUGAUACCAAGAUGAUGUAGGGUAGAACCCUAGGGCCCAAUCUUUUAUGAAAUGGAGGGGAUCCCACGAAGAACACGAACAACACGAGGGGAAAGAGAGGAAUCACUCAAAUCAACAAGAAACAAUCACACAUGUGAUAGAUCCUCGAAACACAAAGAGGUACACGAUGCAAAUCCAACAAAGGACGAUACAUAGGUAACCAGUUCUUCUUCGUGAGGAGGUCUUAAGUCCACGAUGGGUCUUCCCGUGAGGGGUCUUGAAUCCAAGAUGGAUCUUCUCCGUAGAGGCCGCGGUCUCUCUCGUAGAUUAGAUCCGCAUGGAUGAGAAAAGCUCUAUCUCAAAUGAGCUAAACCUAUGCUAACCCUAACUAGGAGGAGGAGGGGGUCUAUAUAUAGUGCUAAGCCACGAAGGGGUAAGUGAGAGGCGGAGGGGUACACGGGCCUCGGCCCAAAUCAUGCGCGCAGGCAAAGGCCGGUUGAUCCGGAUGGGGGUCCGGAUGAUCCGGGCAUCGUUCGGAUGAUCCGGGUCCUCGUCUGGAUGAUCCGGCUCCGCCGGGUGGAUUCCGCAAGCUUCGGGUGUCUUGGGGCACAUUACCUGGAUCGUCCGGGUGGGGGUCAGGAUCAUCCGGGCUUGAUCCGAAUCGUCCGGCUAGGGGUCCGGAUCAUCCGGGAAAGCUUUGUCUUGUAUGUUCUUCUUCUUCCUUCUCCUCUUCCAUGCGUGGCCUUUGUCCCUUGAUUCUCCAUGGUCAUCUCUUAUGUGCCUGAGUAUACACAAGGUCCAUGCAUGAGGUAGUAGCCAUGUCUCAUAUGUGGAAAGUGAAGGUUCAAAGAGGAGUGAGUUCACACUACAAAAAAAUACACUUCCAUGAUGAUACAUGUUUGUCACAGUAGGUCCCAUUUUUUGUCAUGCAUGUACAUCCAUGAUGAUUUUAUGACUGAAUCAAGAUAGUCAUACCUGUGCUGUCGUAGAAGUGUUCCAUAACAUUACCAAAAUUAUCAUCACGGAAGUGUCCACUUCCAUGACGAUAAAUCGCGCGUCACAGAAGUGCUUUCGUCAAGGGUGAUCGACACGUGGCAUCCACCGUAACGGAACGCCGUUAAGCUAUCGGGUCGGGUUUUGGAUCCGAUAACCCGUUAACAGCCCAGACCAAUGGGGAUUUUCCACAUGAAUCAUCAUUGGCUGGAGGAAACACGUGUCGGCUCAUCGUUGGGAUGGAUGUCAUCCACUCAUUGGACGGAAGGCGCCUAUGAUACAUCGACACGUGGCACGGUCCAACAGAGGCCCAUUCCUGUGAAAAGGCCGGCCCGUUUGACUUGGUCAAAAGGUGGCGGGCCGGCCCAUGGAAAGCCUGUUAUCGGCCUGUUCGCAUAUAGCCCAUUUACAGCCCCCUAACCCAAGGCCUGUUACGCCCUAUCCAAAUUAGGCCCAGUAGCGUCAUCUGGGCCAUCCAAUAUGAUUCCAGCCCGUUUUCACUUCUGGCGCAUGUAUGGCCCAUGACGUCUUUCGGCCCAUAUGAGGCCCUAUGUAACUCUUGGCCUAUUAACGGCCUGUGGUGAAACUGGCUCGUAAUGAACAGUGUAUCACUUUAUACCCAUUAACGGCCCUUGGUGAAACUGGCCCGUAAUGAACAGUGUAUCACUUUAUACCCAUUAACAGCCCAUUAUUCCGUUGGGCCGUUUCGAGCCCAUGUUAUCUUUCGGCCUUCUGAGAGACCAUUUAUUCUUGGGCUCAUUUGCAGCAUUCGUUUACUUACAGCCCGUUACUGUCAUUUUCUGCUUGUGGGCCAAAUUCAGCCCGUGGUUACAGUCGGCCCGUUUGUGGUCCGUUAAUACGUUGGGCCGUUUUCAUAGCGUCAUCAAAUAUGGCCUAUUAACGAUGGCCCGUUAUGGUCGGCCCAUGAAUGGACGAUUCCAACUCUAGCCCGUUUACGGCCAUAAUGCGGUCUGUUUGGCCCAUGUUUGGCCAAUCGAUCAUACGGCCCGUAUAAGGCCCAUUGAUGAUACGGCCCGUAGAAGGCCCAUUGUUUCUACGGCCUGUAGAAGGCCCACUGUUUCUACGGCCAGUAGGAGGCCCAAUGUCACUACAGUAAAUAUUAGCCCAUGGUUAUUGUGGCCUAGUUUAAAAAAAUAGGUUAUUGCAGCCACUAGCUAACCGCGGAAAAAGAACUGCAAUGACUACAAGCAAACAAAUAAACAAGACAACAAGGAAAUAAAUAAGCAAGCAACUAACGCUAGGUUAUCACGGCUAUUGCACAUAUUACAUCCACCGGGCAUCAAAGUUCGCCACCAGUGCAAAUAUAGGGAACAAAGCAGCAUAUCAUAUACACUAGUUGUCAGAGUUGGCGACCAACGCAAAUAAACGCUGCAGCAAAACAAAUCCAGAACUAAAACCACUUCAGAAGAUCUCAAGAAACAAUAUCCUGGGUACCCAUAAUGUUGGCAAGAUGCUUAGCAUGCUUAUUAACUUUCUCUUGUUUGGCGCUUAAAUCCUCCAGCGCUUGCUAUUGCACCAGAAAAUAUGCAUUUGAAUUCUGCAGGGACUUCCUCAGUCCUUCAGCUUCCCGUCGCAGCACAUCUGAUCGAUGUCUUUCAACUUGAAGUUAGGACUCAAGAAGACGAACUAAUUCAGGCAGCGAGUUCGAAGAGCUUGUGCCAGCAGUAGUGGCCAGUAACUCAAACACUACAUCAAGACAGGACUUUUGGGUUCCCUCAAUGUCAUCAAGAUAGUUUUGAUUAGCUUUCUUGCAGACCAACAGGGAUGUCUCACUAUCUUGAACCUUAUCUGCAUUACUUCCUUUACCAUUGGAUAACGCGGUACUGUUCUCCAAUAUUUUGUCCACAUUCUAAAAGAGAAACAAGCACAAACAUCACAUGUUUACCAUGUUGUAUAUGAAACUCAUUUUGGUAAAUGAGUUCAGUAGUAAAGUGGACAGGAUAACAACAUGAAACAAACAUAUAUCUAUGUACCAUGGUCACUUUAUGGUCUAUAUCAUUCUAGUUUUUGUUGCCAAAUCAAGAUAGAGACAUAGUUCAAAUAAUAUUUGUUCAAGACAAAGCAGAAUAGACAGAAUAUAAGUGUGGGUAACUAUAGAGCAAUAACAACACUUGUAAUGUGCAUGACAUGAGAACAUAACUGUUUAUUCAAUUGAAACGGUAAUCAACAUAGAGCAGGUAACAACAACAAACCAGUUAAAGAAACAGGUUUAAAAUAUACAUGUUGCGCCAUUGGAAUUUCAAUUCCAUCCUUCAAAUUUGAAAAUAGUUGGUAUGAGUAAAUACAGUAAUGCAAGAGCAAAGGUGUAUGAACCAUAGCUAUAGAACCUGACCUGAGAAUAAAUCUUCUUCUCCUUUAAGCGUUGAGUUGGGAUUCGGAGUGGUGGUCCUCGUGCUUUGGGCACUGCAGUUCCCUUACUAAAUGCUCGUGUUUGGGUGGUCUGUGGUGGAGACGGUGCUGUGUCAACUAGAACUGGGUUACUAUCUGCCGGGGUUGGGGUUAGAAGAUGUGUAGCUGAUUCUUUGUCCAACUGGGUAGGGGUACAAUAUGCGAGAGUCUAGGUUAUGUGUGGUGGAUCUGGUCCUUGGGCAAGUAUAACCGUGGUUCUAUCUGCAUCAACUGGUAGCACUACCUUUUCUGAAGACCAUGUUGUUACUCCCUUAGAUACUGCCAUCACGCUCUCCAAUUCAAAUGGCUGAUAAACAAGAAAAGUAAUUGAAAGUAUAGACAUUGUAUGAUAGGCAGGUGCAAUGGAUAGUGGGGAAUAAAAGAGGGCAUGAAAUAAUUCAUAUUUAUGUUGUCUAACCAAACAGGAUAGCAUGACACAAUUUCACAUAUAUGAUGGCUAACUAAACAGGAUAGCAUGACACAAUUUCACAUUAUGAUGGCUAACUAAAAAAGAUAGAAAGACAUAGUUCAAAAUAUGAGGCUAUGUAAACAGGAUGACAUGACAUAACUAUAUAAUGUGUUUAUUAAAUAGGUUGACAUGCCAUAAUUCACAUACAUUCAUGGAUAGAAUGCCAUAAUUCAAAAUAUGAUGACUGUAAACACUAAACAGGAUGAGAUGAUAUAACUAUAUGAUGUCUUUAUUAAAUGGGUUGCCAUGCCAUAAUUCAGAUAGAUGAUGUGUAUGUACUAUGUAAACAUGAUGGCAUGAUAUAAUUCAAAUAUAUGAUUUAUAUAGUAAGCAAGUAAGCAGAUGGAAAUCCAUAUAUGAUGUAAAAACUAAGCAAUGCAAGACAACAUGCAUGACAUGGGUAAUAUAACCCUGCCAUGUUUGAGCAUAGACCUCAGGGGGGAAAUAGGACUGGUCAUCAGUCUCUGAAUCCUCCUCUGAGGAGCUCUUUGUAACCAGCAAGAUGUCUUCUUCAGCAGGUAGCAUUGUCUGCUCUGAAUACCUUGUUUUCACUCUAGAUAGUUCCAUCACCGCUUCAAAUGGCUGAUGCAUAGGAAGAGUAGUUGAAUAUACAAACAUUCUCGACAAAUGGAACAUGUAAUACAAAAAAAUGAUAGCAUGAUAUAAUUCACAUACAUGUUCAUUGGCUAAACAGCAUGGCAUUGCAUAAUUCACAUAUAUAAUGCCUUUGCAACAAGAUAGCAUUGUAUAAUUCACAUAUAUAACGUCUUGCAAUAAGAUGGCAAUGCAUAAUUCACAUAUAUGGUAAUUAGAGACUGAACAGGUGGCAUUCACACAAAGCAUGUCUAAACUAAUCAAAUGACAUAGCAAUGCGAGACACCAUACACACGAUAUGAGCAACAUAACCCUGCCAAGUUAGAGCANNNNNNNNNNNNNNNNNNNNNNNNNNNNNNNNNNNNNNNNNNNNNNNNNNNNNNNNNNNNNNNNNNNNNNNNNNNNNNNNNNNNNNNNNNNNNNNNNNNNNNNNNNNNNNNNNNNNNNNNNNNNNNNNNNNNNNNNNNNNNNNNNNNNNNNNNNNNNNNNNNNNNNNNNNNNNNNNNNNNNNNNNNNNNNNNNNNNNNNNNNNNNNNNNNNNNNNNNNNNNNNNNNNNNNNNNNNNNNNNNNNNNNNNNNNNNNNNNNNNNNNNNNNNNNNNNNNNNNNNNNNNNNNNNNNNNNNNNNNNNNNNNNNNNNNNNNNNNNNNNNNNNNNNNNNNNNNNNCAUCGUGUCAAAUGGCUGAUGCACACGAAGAGCAGUUGAAUGUACUAACAUUGUUGACAAAUGUAGUAUGUAACAAAAAAAAAA